rnacentral:lncRNA from 1 species
UCUCUUCUACAACAAAGAGAGAAUGUUUCAGACCUCCACCCAACUAGCUCAACCAUAAUCCAAGAUUUCCGUCUCAAACCAGUUCACGGUCUUCGUAAAUUUUUUUAAGGUGGGUCCCAUCAAAUAGGUCGUGCCACGAACGCAUCUAGUCAUGACCUCCUUAGCUAAUUUUUUAUUCUUUUUCCCUUGAGCUGCAGUUUGAAGGCCGGACAAGCCAUGACCACGCCCAGGAUCCCAGAGAUUCCCUUUCACCCGGACGACAAGCCUCCACCUAGAAAAGUUGAAUAAAAGAGAGGGGCAAAGAAAGAGAAACGAAAGCCAAAGAAAGAAGGAAAGAAAGAACUCAUAAAGAAGAAAUCUAUGAGAUGACAUGCGUCUUUUGGUAAAGUGCUCUCUUCUUUAUAGGCCGCAUCAUCUCACCCUUCCGUGAAAAUUACAGGCAUCCUUCUCCUCCUCUCCCUCUCUCUUAUUCCACCCCAGCUUCAGCUGCCGAAAUAGGGUGAUAGAAGGGGGACU